rnacentral:rRNA from 1 species
UACGGAGGAUCCAAGCGUUGUCCGGAUUUAUUGGGUUUAAAGGGUGCGUAGGCGGCCCGUUAAGUCAGUGGUGAAAGUUUGCGGCUUAACCGUAAAAUUGCCAUUGAAACUGAUGGGCUUGAGUAUGGUUGAGGCGGGCGGAAUGUGUCAUGUAGCGGUGAAAUGCUUAGAUAUGAUACAGAACACCGAUUGCGAAGGCAGCUCACUAAACCAUAACUGACGCUGAGGCACGAAAGCGUGGGAUCAAACAGG